rnacentral:misc_RNA from 1 species
GAACGCACAUUGCGCCCCCUGGUAUUCCGGGGGGCAUGCCUGUUCGAGCGUCAUUUCACCACUCAAGCCUCGCUUGGUAUUGGGCGUCGCGGGUCCCCCGCGCGCCUCAAAGUCUCCGGCUGAGCGGUUCGUCUCCCAGCGUUGUGGCAACUAUUUCGCAGUGGAGUUCGAGUCGUCGCGGCCGUUAAAUCUUUCAAAGGUUGACCUCGGAUCAGGUAGGGAUACCCGCUGAACUUA